UCCAACUUAUCGCUGGCGGUCUCCUGAUAGUUGCGCCUUGCGGCAUGCCAAAACAGGACAAGGGUUGCGCUCGUUGCGGGACUUAACCCAACAUCUCACGACACGAGCUGACGACAGCCAUGCAGCACCUGUGUUCCGGUUCUCUUUCGAGCACCCCCGCCUCUCAGCGGGCUUCCGGACAUGUCAAGGGUAGGUAAGGUUGUUCGCGUUGCAUCGAAUUAAUCCACAUCAUCCACCGCUUGUGCGGGUCCCCGUCAAUUCCUUUGAGUUUUAACCUUGCGGCCGUACUCCCCAGGCGGAGAGCUUAAUGCGUUAGCUGCGUCACCAAUAAGCAUGCUUACUGACAACUAGCUCUCAUCGUUUAAGGCGUGGACUAC
rnacentral:misc_RNA from 1 species